AGGUGCAAUCAUACCAGCACUAAUGCACCGGAUCCCAUCUGAACUCCGCAGAUAAGCGGGCUUGGGCGAGAGUAGCACUAGGAUGGGUGACCUCAUGGGAAGUCCUCGUGUUGCACCUC
rnacentral:rRNA from 2 species